CAAAAUAUGAAAUACCUUGUAUGUAGUACCAAAUAGUUUGUGCGAUAGAUUCUUUCGUUGUCUCUGCUACUUGAUAAAUCGCACCUUUAGAAUUAUAGAGACUUAAUUCAAAAUUUAAGGAUUUCGAGUUUGAGCAAUAAAUUGACUUU